CAACUUUCAAAGGAUCAGAGAAUGAAUCUAGUACUGAAAGCAUACGCUAGAGCUAGCUAGCACUGCAGUGCAUACAAUGUGGUGAGUAGUUGACUCAAAGAGAAAGAAAGACAAUAGUUUAACAGUUUUCAACAAAUGAAUUUCUUCAAAAAUGAAGGCAAGAGAGAAAGAGAGAUUUCAUCAUUUUCUUUCACUUUCAGUUUCACUUACUAGCAAACUCAGCUGGCUAGUUUAGUUACUCAAACACCCGGCUCAAACAGAGGGAUGCUAUGUUAGCUAGCUGGCUAUGACUAUCCAUCACAACACUGGAACUCUUCCAAGUCAAGAUGAAGUCCUGCAACUAGUGAGGUACGGUCACCCGACAACCUACCCAUUUGAUCCCAUCCUCCAUUCUCCUGACCAUCUCUGGAUACCUUUUACCAUUCCUCACUUCCCUAUCAACUCAUCCCUGACCACUGGUUGCAUCCCCUCUGACUUCAAAAUGGCCCGAAUCGCUCCCAUCCUCAAGAAACCAACACCCGACUCAUCUGACGUCAAAAACUACAGACCAGUAUCCCUUAUUUAUUUUCUUUGCAAAACACUUGUGUGCUGUCUCUGACAAACUAUCUCACUAUCUCUCUCAGAAUAAUCUUCUUGACCCUAACCAGUCAGGUUUUUGUCCUAGGCUGAAAGGCUUGCCAAGAACCAUUACUGUUUACAGUUGGAAUGAUCAGUACACAGGUAUCAUUUUUCACCUCAUAUGUUACAACUUUAUUCUCCUCAAACAAGGUCUCUUUGUGUUGGACAAAAAAACUUGACCAUGUGUUCUGUAGACUGAAAAUGUACCCUGGAAAAUGUAUUAACAGGAAAAGUAUUUUUGUCUUAGUUUAACCAAGAUUUCAACCACAAAUUGGAUGGUUGAUCUGACAUCUUUUCAGACUUCCCAGAAUGGGCUCAUUGUGCUUUCCUCAGUGGUGUCUUCAGUAGUUGUUCUAUAAAUAGUUGAG
rnacentral:lncRNA from 1 species